AUGCUGCUGAAACUGCAGCCGUACACGCAGUCCUCCGUCGUUAAUCGACCCUGCGCCAAGCUAGCUUACAAGUUCUUUGGGCCAUUCAAGGUGGAGGCCAAGAUCGGGGCACUCGCCUACAAGCUGAUUCUGCUGCCGGACAGCUGCAUCCACAACGUCUUCGACGUCUCCCAGCUGAAGCCGUACACACCCAACUACACGCCUGUCUUCACGGAGCUGCCCAAGCCGCCGGAUCUGUCCAUGGUCGAGACGGCGCCCGUGAAGAUCCUCGACAGACGCAUGGUCAAGCGAGGCAACGUAGCACUUGUGCAAAUUCAAGUGCGCUGGACCUCCUCUUCGCCUGCAGCAGUGACAUGGAAAGACUACGACACACUCAAACUUCGUUUUCUGAUAGCAACGAUCUGGCAAGGCAAGGGGUGGCUGGAGCGCCAGGUGACGCUCCUUUUGAUGAAGGGGGGAAAUGUCACACCUGCACCUGCAAGUGCCACGAUGGACCUGAGUAGCCAAUAG
rnacentral:rRNA from 1 species